rnacentral:rRNA from 1 species
GGUUAAGCGACUAAGCGUACACGGUGGAUGCCCUGGCAGUCAGAGGCGAUGAAGGACGUGCUAAUCUGCGAAAAGCGUCGGUAAGGUGAUAUGAACCGUUAUAACCGGCGAUGUCCGAAUGGGGAAACCCAGUGCAAUUCGUUGCACUAUCGUUAACUGAAUACAUAGGUUAACGAGGCGAACCGGGGGAACUGAAACAUCUAAGUACCCCGAGGAAAAGAAAUCAACCGAGAUUCCCCCAGUAGCGGCGAGCGAACGGGGAGCAGCCCAGAGUCUGAAUCAGCUUGUGUGUUAGUGGAACGGUCUGGAAAGUCCGACGGUACAGGGUGAUAGUCCCGUACACCAAAAUGCACAGGUUGUGAACUCGAAGAGUAGGGCGGGACACGUGGUAUCCUGUCUGAAUAUGGGGGGACCAUCCUCCAAGGCUAAAUACUCCUGACUGACCGAUAGUGAACCAGUACCGUGAGGGAAAGGCGAAAAGAACCCCGGCGAGGGGAGUGAAAAAGAACCUGAAACCGUGUACGUACAAGCAGUGGGAGCACCUUCGGGUGUGACUGCGUACCUUUUGUAUAAUGGGUCAGCGACUUAUAUUCUGUAGCAAGGUUAACCGUAUAGGGGAGCCGCAGGGAAACCGAGUCUUAACUGGGCGUUAAGUUGCAGGGUAUAGACCCGAAACCCGGUGAUCUAGCCAUGGGCAGGUUGAAGGUUGGGUAACACUAACUGGAGGACCGAACCGACUAAUGUUGAAAAAUUAGCGGAUGACUUGUGGCUGGGGGUGAAAGGCCAAUCAAACCGGGAGAUAGCUGGUUCUCCCCGAAAGCUAUUUAGGUAGCGCCUCGUGAAUUCAUCUUCGGGGGUAGAGCACUGUUUCGGCUAGGGGGUCAUCCCGACUUACCAACCCGAUGCAAACUACGAAUACCGAAGAAUGUUAUCACGGGAGACACACGGCGGGUGCUAACGUCCGUCGUGAAGAGGGAAACAACCCAGACCGCCAGCUAAGGUCCCAAAGUCAUGGUUAAGUGGGAAACGAUGUGGGAAGGCACAGACAGCCAGGAUGUUGGCUUAGAAGCAGCCAUCAUUUAAAGAAAGCGUAAUAGCUCACUGGUCGAGUCGGCCUGCGCGGAAGAUGUAACGGGGCUAAACCAUGCACCGAAGCUGCGGCAGCGACACUAUGUGUUGUUGGGUAGGGGAGCGUUCUGUAAGCCUGCGAAGGUGUGCUGUGAGGCAUGCUGGAGGUAUCAGAAGUGCGAAUGCUGACAUAAGUAACGAUAAAGCGGGUGAAAAGCCCGCUCGCCGGAAGACCAAGGGUUCCUGUCCAACGUUAAUCGGGGCAGGGUGAGUCGACCCCUAAGGCGAGGCCGAAAGGCGUAGUCGAUGGGAAACAGGUUAAUAUUCCUGUACUUGGUGUUACUGCGAAGGGGGGACGGAGAAGGCUAUGUUAGCCGGGCGACGGUUGUCCCGGUUUAAGCAUGUAGGCUG